rnacentral:sRNA from 1 species
GUCUCCGGGAACUCUUGUGUCCUCCUCCUCCUCCUCCUCUUCUCCUCUCUCUCUCUUCUCCUACAUCUUCCCCGGUUGAUCAGACGACCAAGUGAAGAACCUUAUGAAUGGCAGGCACUCAUUGAGGCUCAAUUUUGAGAUAGAUCACACUCUUGUCUAAGGGAGUCCCUGCAGCCUGGAAGAGGACUUGUUAUCAUCCCAUCUACGAACGAGUGCCAGGCUCCCAUGUCCUCCGUAGACAGAUACAGAUACCUCUAUAUACAGAUCUGUACCCCGGACACGCUCUAAAAAUAUCAGCCCACAAGGACGAAAUGGGAAGGAAAAAGCAAAAAAAAGGGAAACGAAGAAAAAGAAGCCGGAUGGAGGGGCCACUAAGCUGUAUACGGAUGGUAGAUUGCAGAUCACUCAACCACAAUACAAUACGUGACGAGGGAGACGAUCUAUGUAUAUAUUCUCAUGAUUAACCCCACCCCUGAUUGGGAGUCUGGAUAUAUGUCGGAGGCGGCUGCUCUGUCGGUGAUCUUGCUUGGGAGAAAGCGCAGAGAGAGGAGAGAAGAGAAAGGCUUGAGUGGCAGCUGGAGGGGCCUCCACAUGUGCGUUGUGUGUGCAGACAAAGCGCGAUCGACGGGGAUU